CACAUGAACAAAAUACACUGAUUGUGUGGCAUACACAUUGCAGUACCUACCUCUCUGUCUCCUCUCUCAUCCUGGUGGGGUUGUUUGCAAUGUGGGGUACCAGCCUCAGGUAUUCACUGGCGGUGUAGACAUGCGGUGGGUAGUACCCUCUCAGGGGGUCUUUGACAAA